rnacentral:rRNA from 1 species
AAGCUGUUGCAGUUAAAAGCUCGUAGUUGGAUCUCGGACUUGGGCUUGCGGUCCGAUCAAGUUCGGUUCACUGCUUGUCCUAGGUCUACCCGCCGGCUGUCCCCCGGUGCUCUUAACUGAGUGCCUCGGGCGACCGGCUNGUUUACUUUGAAANNAUUNGAGUGUUCAAAGCAGGCUCAUACAGCCUGAAUAAUGGUGCAUGGAAUAAUGGAAUAGGACCUCGGUUCUNUUUUNUUGGUUUUCGGAACUCGAGGUAAUGAUUAAGAGGGACGGACGGGGGCAUUCGUAUUACGGUGUUAGAGGUGAAAUUCUAGGAUCGCCGUAAGACGGACGGCUGCGAAAGCGUUUGCCAAGCACGUUUUCAUUAGUCAAGAACGAAAGUCAGAGGUUCGAAGACGAUCAGAUACCGWNCUAGUUCUGACCAUAAACGAUGCCGACUAGCGAUCCGCCGGAGUUGCUUCAAUGACUCGGCGGNCWGCUUCCGGGAAACCAAAGUCUUUGGGNUCGNUGGGGGAAGUAUGGUUGCAAAG